rnacentral:misc_RNA from 1 species
GAUGAAGAACGUAGCGAAAUGCGAUAAGUAAUGUGAAUUGCAGAAUUCAGUGAAUCAUCGAAUCUUUGAACGCACCUUGCACCCUUUGGCAUUCCGAAGGGUAUGCUCGUUUGAGUGUCAUUGUACUCUCACACUCUCCGAUCCUAUGGAUUCGGGGAGCGGUGGACUUGGGUGUUGCUGCCUUUCCUUGUGGCUCACCUCAAAUGUGUCAGUGCACCUCUUGGUUGGACAUAGUACGGCGUGAUAAGUGUCUUCGCCGGCACCUCGCAAGGGGGUGGCCGAUCGGGAGCUCUGUGCUUUCACACCGUCUUCGGACAAUUUCUGACAACUUGACCUCAAAUCGAGUAGGACUACCCGCUGAACUUAAGCAUAUCAAUAAGCGGAGGA